GGCCUGGUGGUGUAUUGGUUAACAUGCCUGCUCUAAUUUCAUCGUAACCCUCGUGUUUCAGUAGGAGAUUCCUUGUUCGAAUCAAGGUCAGGCCU